rnacentral:tRNA from 1 species
CGACGAGCAGCCGUCAUCGCCGCAGUCCGCGAGGUUGCCGACCUCGAAUUCGUCAACGGCGGGGGGACCGGCUCGUUCGAAUCCAGCUCCGUCGA